UCCCUGGCUGUCCCCCAAGUGGCGCAUAGUGAGUAGCCUUAGGGUUUCUCUCUUUUCUCAGCAGAUCCUGCCCUGGUCACAGCGGGGCCCAGACUCUGGAGCCAGGUGUUUGAGAAGCACAUAUGAAUAAGUUGUGUCCAAGGCCUGCAAGAAGCUUCCGCCUGAUGACUCUUCAAAUCAAUAUUGAAACAAAACCCACACAGGCAAGACCCCAUCCACAAAUUUGCAGUCCUGCAGGUAUACUCCAAAACCUGGGCAAAAAAAAAAACAAACCAGAACUAUCUGAGCCAGUAGCUGAAGCCAAUAUGUAAGUCAGACUUUGGGAAAAGGAAUGGCUGGCGUGAAAGUUCUGCCAGGGUUUGCCUGCUCCUCGGGGACAUCUGGCUUUCUGGUGGUGCCACCUGGCGAGAAGGAAACUGAGGCUGAGAGAGGAUGGAAGUCACAAGCAGCCACUCAGGGACGGGCCCUUGGAGUGGAGACCUUUUCUACGUGACGGGGAGCACUGCAUCCAGAAGGCCGGCACAACUGGCCAUCAAGUCCUCAUGGACCUCACGAACUUGGCCCUCGUGAGAGCACACAGAUUCAGAAGCAUGUUCGUAGCAGGCUGGAACUGUGCAGAAGAUAUGCCAAGAAAAGCAGCAUGGAGGGUGGAUAAAGCCCUGCCCGGA